GCUGUAUGAUCUUGAAAAAGUUUCAAGAUCUAACCCUGAAACCCUAGAUCUGGUUCCUACAAUUGGUAUCAGAGCCAGGUUCUUUAUUACAUGAUUAUUUAUACAUGCUUAGAUUAUUUUUUAGAUUAAAUUUAAUUUAUAAUCUGAUUAUUAAAUCUAAAAUUAAAAUUUUAGAUCAAUCAUGAACUGCAAGGUUGUCCUGCUGUAAGGUUUACCCCUUACAGUGCAAAGGUUGUCCUAGUUUGUGUAGAUCUAUCUUUAAUAAUAAAUUUGUUAGAU
rnacentral:lncRNA from 1 species